CGACAAUCUAUGUCAACACUGAAAUCUUAGUUUGGAUUGCCUUUAUGUGAGAAGAAGCGUAUUUAUUUGUUACGUUUUUACCGGGUUAACGGAGAGAAAGAAAGGAUUGCUAAAAUAAAUUAUGAACGAAAUCAUUGAUCGCUGUGUGCCUCACAUGCCUCAAAAUGUAAACGAAAUCAAUAGCGAAAGAAACGAUUGCUAUAAUUAAUCAUGAACGAACCCAUUUAUCGCCGUGUGCCUCAAAGACAGACAUGCGCAGAACUAUGUCCAGAUGAAUUCAGCGAUCUCGCAGUAGAAGUUAUAAAUAUUUCGUGUGAAUUAAGUAACACACAAAGCAGUUCGCAAGCUGUUCGUUUGGACAAUGACUGCAAUUCAAAGUAUAUUUUUUCAUCAGAAUUGACCUGUAGUCAAGAAGAAGUUCCAUUGUCUACCAUCAGUCACAAUGGUAAGGAGGCGAAAAGAGAAAAUGCAGGCGAUACAGAAUCGCCUCAUUCGGUCGCUAUGCAUAAAGUAGCAGCGGGAGAAUUGACAAGUUGUGAAGUUAAAAUGGUUAAUGCGACUGAAGCACAAAAUGGAGAGACACUAACAUUAACAUGCUCUGGAGAACGAGCUGAACUUAUAAAUGAGGAAGAUUUGAUGCCUGUGCACAACGUGCUACCAUUUAAAGAAUGUGGAAACUUUGAUUACACAGAUGUGCAUGAAAGUGCCUUUAUGAAAAUUUAUCAAAUCAGCAACACAUACAGUGGGGCAGAUGGAGGACCCGUUAAUUCAACCGUAGGCAACUUUCGUGACACUUCAUGUGCAUUCGGUAGUUCACAAUUACCUAAUGGUUUCGGAUUUCAGACUUCAAGAAAUUGCAUAG